UACGUAGGGGGCAAACGUUGUCCGGAUUUACUGGGUGUAAAGGGUGCUCAGGCGGUUUUUGUAAGUCAGAAGUGAAAUCCUAGAGCUUAACUCUGGAACUGCUUUUUGAUACUGCAAGGCUUGAAUGUGGAAGAGGAGGAUGGAAUUUCUGGUGUAGCAGUGAAAUGCGCAGAUAUCGGGAGGAACACCAGUAGCGAAGGCGGCUCGCUGGGCCAUUCCUGACGCUGAGACGCGAAAAGCUAGGGGAGCAAACGGGG
rnacentral:rRNA from 1 species